rnacentral:misc_RNA from 1 species
GAAAUGCGAUAAGUAAUGUGAAUUGCAGAAUUCAGUGAAUCAUCGAAUCUUUGAACGCACCUUGCGCUCCUUGGUAUUCCUUGGAGCAUGCCUGUUUGAGUAUCAUGAAAUCUUCAAAGUAAAUCUUUUGUUAACUCAAUUGGUUUCUACUUUGGUAUUGGAGGUCUUUGCAGCUUCACACCUGCUCCUCUUUGUUCAUUAGCUGGAUCUCAGUGUUAUGCUUGGUUCCACUCGGCGUGAUAAGUUAUCUAUCGCUGAGGACACUGUAAAAGGUGGCCAAGGUAAAUGCAGAUGAACCGCUUCUAAUAGUCCAUUGACUUGGACAAUACUUUUAUGAUCGGAUCUCAAAUCAGGCAGGACUACCCGCUGAACAUAAGC